UAUUGUUAUUCUACAAUCGCACGUGUCCAGAAACAAUGGCAUUCAACUUCCGUUUCCAAUACCGUCAUAUUUCGUCACGUAAAUGCAAAAAAACGAGAUUAUUACAUUUAAUUUGAUUUUUUUUAAGUGACAGCGAUACUGAAGGUGAUGAUGACGUUCAAUCGCUGCCAUAUGUGAACUUCGACACGAGUGACAGCGAGGCUGUAGGGGAUUCCGAGGCAGUGAACAAUAACAACGUUCCGCCGCCGCCGACCUCGUCCCCUAUACCGCGAGAGUAUCUCUAUACUAGUGACUGAUGACGAUGACGAGACUGGGGCCUUGAUGGAUCGAGAUGAUGAUGAUUUGCCUAGAGUUAGAGAUCCUGACGACUUCUAU